GUAGACUAAAAAUAAGUAUGUUAAAUUACAACAUACACUUUUGUUAUUCGGGUGUGCGUUUUAUGUAUUUUUAUAAUAAGCAUUUAUAAGCAUUAUUCUAAAUUUAAUAAGAAGUGAUAACAGCUGCAGGACACAGCACUCUUAAAGGUGAAGUUUCGAAUACCUUCUAUACAUAGGACGCGACGUUGUAUCUAAAACGCUAGCGAUGAACCCGUCCAGGGAACCGAGGGCACUGAGUAUGACUCGCAGAAUCCGCGGCACGCAUUGGUCGUUAUGGUGAAUUCUACGCAAUCAGGAAUGGAAAUUUUUCGCG